ensembl:lncRNA
GAAUCUGUAGUCUGGCCAAGGAAACAGGAGUUGAUAUAAUGAUUCAAACUGUUAGCCUGUGGCUGUCAAAUGUGAAUUUGAAUUUGAAAUUUGACUGAUUGAUUGAUUAGUUGGUUGGUUCCCUAUCCAUUGAUUGAUUGAUUGAUUGAUUGAAUUGUAUGUUAACAUCGUAGGUUUGGAGGACGGCUCAGCAAAGCAGUCGCCGGACCCAGAUCUCAGGUGGACGGUCCUCCUCAGUGUGAUCGUUGCUUCACUGCUGUUGCUUGUGUGUGUCAUACUCAUCGUAAGGACGUUUCGAAAGAAGCCCUCGGGAAUGGAAGAUACACCUCAUAAGGUAACCCCCCUCCCCUUUCUUUCUUUCUCUCCCUCUCUCUUUUUCUCUCCGUCUUUUGCACUCUCUCUCUCUCUCUCUCCCACACUAAUUUGCCUUUCAUAUGAAGAGCUUUUGAUUAGUUCAGAGUAGCUCUUCCACUCUACACACUGUGGGUGUGUGUGUGUGUGUGUGUGUGUGUGGGGGUGUGUGUGUGUGUGUGAGUGUGAGUGUGUGUGUUUGUGUGUGUGUGUGUGUGUGUGAGAGAGUGUGUGAGAGUGUGUGUGUGUGUGUGGGUGUGUGUGUGUGUGGGUGUGUGUGUGUGUGGGUGUGUGUGUGUGUGUGUGUGUGUGUGUGUGUGUGUGUAAGAGAGUGUGUGAGAGUGUGUGUUCAGCACUGCACCUCUCUUCACAAUUGAAAUGUGUGAAACUCAAAGAAAUAAAAUCAUCAUGUCUGAUUGAUGUUUCAGCACCAUGACAUACCGACCGUCAUCGUCACAGAAAGCGACGCCGAUGAGCCCAGCCGGCAGGAAGUGAACUCCGUCUACAGUGUCGUCAACAAGGCUGCCAGAUGCCUCGUGUCGAGCCAUGACGCUCCGAUAAAGUUGAAAAAUCAGACAUCCAGGCCAGUGGAUACAGAGGGAGAGCAUAGAGCACAGCGCCAACAGAGAAACAGAAGGAAACAGCGCCCCCAAGAGGACAAAAACAUGACCAUAUACACCACAGCCACAAACCCACUGGAGAAACAGCACCCCCUAGAGGACACAGACAGGACCAUAUACACCACAGCCACAAAACCACUGGAGAAACAGCACCCCCUGGAGGAUACAGACAGGACCAUAUAUGACACAACCAGAACACAACAGAAUGCACAGCUUCCGCCACUCGUCACCAACACGAGCCAGACAGAAACCAACCAGGCUGACACUGUGUAUUACACGCUGGGACACAUGAACAGUGGUCAGCACUGACCAAUGGAACCAGGCUGAGGACACAACAGUGUGCUAAGAAAAGGAUUACUAUGACAGAAUUACUAGGAACUAAUAACAAAGUGCAGAAAGCCUUUACCCUCACUGAUGAUGUAUACAAAAGGUAGUUGUAUCUAUACCAAGCGGAUUGCAUAGUUACAACAUAGUAUAUGACAUAUGUAUAUAAAUAUCUGAUAUAGAUGAUAUACAUCAUAGUAUAUGACAUAUGUAUAUAUAUAUAUAACCCUAAUCCAACAUAGUAUAUGACAUAUGUAUAUAUAUAUAUAUAUAUAACCCUAAUCCAACAUAGUAUAUGACAUAUAUAUAUAUAUAUAUUUAUAUCACACUCUGCUCCUCUAUGUAGUAGUGUGUUUGUUAUUUAUUGAGUUCUACUACUGUGUUCAUUCCUGUGUCAGUCGAGAUUACAAUCCCUUUAAAGAGAACGUGUCUGUUGAGAUUACGAUGGAAGGAAAUGGCGAUAUCAAAUGACGAAGGGUCUUCACCAGGGGCCUUUUCACAAGGAAUACACCCUAAUGCUUCUUCUGUUGUUCAAGACUAUUACAUUCACUGACACAUACAUUUCAAAUGUAAACACGGACUACUGUAAUUCACUCUUCACUGGGAUCACUGGCAAGAACAUCCAGAAGCUGCAAUACAUUCAAAACAGCGCCGCCAGGACCGGAAAUACGAUCACAUCACACCCAUUCUACACUCACUACACUGGCUCCCUGUCUCAUUCCGGAUUGACUACAAAGUCCUACUACUCACCCAUACAUGCAUAAAUGGACAUGCACCUCCCUACCUACAAGAACUCAUUACUCCCCAAACAUCCAACCGCACCCUCAGAUCAACAAACAGCUCGCUCCUCCGGGUCCCCAACACCAAGCUCCGCACCAUGGGCGACCGGACCUUUUUGCUCGGCUGUGCCGCGCCUAUGGACCAGCCUCCCUGACCACCUAAGGGCAACACAGACACUGGACUCUUUUAAGACUGGCCUAAAAAGACUUUUUAUUCAGGAAGGCGUUUUUUGACUUUGUGUUAAAUCACUGUCAGCUAUUUAUUUUGUGUUUCUGUUCAUUCAUGUUUACUAGUUUUUUUGUAUUAUAGUUUGUUUUAAUGUUCUGGCUCUGUGCGCUAUAAAUAAAAUGCAUUAUUAUUAUUAUUAUAAUUGUUAU